rnacentral:lncRNA from 1 species
UUGUGCAAAUUGGAUUUACCCAAUUAUCCCAAUCUUAUCCAUGAAUUCUAUGGAAAUGCAAAGGUCAAAUACAACUGCAUUGAAAUAGAGGCUAAGAAAAUCAAAAUAAUCCUUGAUGCAGAAAAACUCGAACAAUUUCUAAAAGCACCUACUUUUGAAUCAGAUCACCUGGUUGACAAGUGCAGUGGCUUGAGAACGGUUUUAGGAAGCAAAGAUGUGGUGGAAUUCGAAGAGAUUCUAGCUAAAAGACUUUCUGUUGAAAUUAGACUCCACUAUAUGAGUACUUGGAUAUUUCUCCUAUGGGUUGGC